rnacentral:rRNA from 1 species
GUUAAGCGACUAAGCGUACACGGUGGAUGCCCUGGCAGUCAGAGGCGAUGAAGGACGUGCUAAUCUGCGAUAAGCGUCGGUAAGGUGAUAUGAACCGUUAUAACCGGCGAUUUCCGAAUGGGGAAACCCAGUGUGAUUCGUCACACUAUCAUUAACUGAAUCCAUAGGUUAAUGAGGCGAACCGGGGGAACUGAAACAUCUAAGUACCCCGAGGAAAAGAAAUCAACCGAGAUUCCCCCAGUAGCGGCGAGCGAACGGGGAGCAGCCCAGAGCCUGAAUCAGUGUGUGUGUUAGUGGAAGCGUCUGGAAAGGCGCGCGAUACAGGGUGACAGCCCCGUACACAAAAAUGCACAUGCUGUGAGCUCGAUGAGUAGGGCGGGACACGUGGUAUCCUGUCUGAAUAUGGGGGGACCAUCCUCCAAGGCUAAAUACUCCUGACUGACCGAUAGUGAACCAGUACCGUGAGGGAAAGGCGAAAAGAACCCCGGCGAGGGGAGUGAAAAAGAACCUGAAACCGUGUACGUACAAGCAGUGGGAGCACGCUUAGGCGUGUGACUGCGUACCUUUUGUAUAAUGGGUCAGCGACUUAUAUUCUGUAGCAAGGUUAACCGAAUAGGGGAGCCGAAGGGAAACCGAGUCUUAACUGGGCGUUAAGUUGCAGGGUAUAGACCCGAAACCCGGUGAUCUAGCCAUGGGCAGGUUGAAGGUUGGGUAACACUAACUGGAGGACCGAACCGACUAAUGUUGAAAAAUUAGCGGAUGACUUGUGGCUGGGGGUGAAAGGCCAAUCAAACCGGGAGAUAGCUGGUUCUCCCCGAAAGCUAUUUAGGUAGCGCCUCGUGAAUUCAUCUCCGGGGGUAGAGCACUGUUUCGGCAAGGGGGUCAUCCCGACUUACCAACCCGAUGCAAACUGCGAAUACCGGAGAAUGUUAUCACGGGAGACACACGGCGGGUGCUAACGUCCGUCGUGAAGAGGGAAACAACCCAGACCGCCAGCUAAGGUCCCAAAGUCAUGGUUAAGUGGGAAACGAUGUGGGAAGGCCCAGACAGCCAGGAUGUUGGCUUAGAAGCAGCCAUCAUUUAAAGAAAGCGUAAUAGCUCACUGGUCGAGUCGGCCUGCGCGGAAGAUGUAACGGGGCUAAACCAUGCACCGAAGCUGCGGCAGCGACGCUGAUGCGUUGUUGGGUAGGGGAGCGUUCUGUAAGCCUGCGAAGGUGUGCUGUGAGGCAUGCUGGAGGUAUCAGAAGUGCGAAUGCUGACAUAAGUAACGAUAAAGCGGGUGAAAAGCCCGCUCGCCGGAAGACCAAGGGUUCCUGUCCAACGUUAAUCGGGGCAGGGUGAGUCGACCCCUAAGGCGAGGCCGAAAGGCGUAGUCGAUGGGAAACAGGUUAAUAUUCCUGUACUUGGUGUUACUGCGAAGGGGGGACGGAGAAGGCUAUGUUGGCCGGGCGACGGUUGUCCCGGUUUAAGCGUGUAGGCUGGUUUUCCAGGCAAAUCCGGAAAAUCAAGGCUGAGGCGUGAUGACGAGGCACUACGGUGCUGAAGCAACAAAUGCCCUGCUUCCAGGAAAAGCCUCUAAGCAUCAGGUAACAUCAAAUCGUACCCCAAACCGACACAGGUGGUCAGGUAGAGAAUACCAAGGCGCUUGAGAGAACUCGGGUGAAGGAACUAGGCAAAAUGGUGCCGUAACUUCGGGAGAAGGCACGCUGAUAUGUAGGUGAAGCGACUUGCUCGUGGAGCUGAAAUCAGUCGAAGAUACCAGCUGGCUGCAACUGUUUAUUAAAAACACAGCACUGUGCAAACACGAAAGUGGACGUAUACGGUGUGACGCCUGCCCGGUGCCGGAAGGUUAAUUGAUGGGGUUAGCGCAAGCGAAGCUCUUGAUCGAAGCCCCGGUAAACGGCGGCCGUAACUAUAACGGUCCUAAGGUAGCGAAAUUCCUUGUCGGGUAAGUUCCGACCUGCACGAAUGGCGUAAUGAUGGCCAGGCUGUCUCCACCCGAGACUCAGUGAAAUUGAACUCGCUGUGAAGAUGCAGUGUACCCGCGGCAAGACGGAAAGACCCCGUGAACCUUUACUAUAGCUUGACACUGAACAUUGAGCCUUGAUGUGUAGGAUAGGUGGGAGGCUUUGAAGUGUGGACGCCAGUCUGCAUGGAGCCGACCUUGAAAUACCACCCUUUAAUGUUUGAUGUUCUAACGUUGACCCGUAAUCCGGGUUGCGGACAGUGUCUGGUGGGUAGUUUGACUGGGGCGGUCUCCUCCUAAAGAGUAACGGAGGAGCACGAAGGUUGGCUAAUCCUGGUCGGACAUCAGGAGGUUAGUGCAAUGGCAUAAGCCAGCUUGACUGCGAGCGUGACGGCGCGAGCAGGUGCGAAAGCAGGUCAUAGUGAUCCGGUGGUUCUGAAUGGAAGGGCCAUCGCUCAACGGAUAAAAGGUACUCCGGGGAUAACAGGCUGAUACCGCCCAAGAGUUCAUAUCGACGGCGGUGUUUGGCACCUCGAUGUCGGCUCAUCACAUCCUGGGGCUGAAGUAGGUCCCAAGGGUAUGGCUGUUCGCCAUUUAAAGUGGUACGCGAGCUGGGUUUAGAACGUCGUGAGACAGUUCGGUCCCUAUCUGCCGUGGGCGCUGGAGAACUGAGGGGGGCUGCUCCUAGUACGAGAGGACCGGAGUGGACGCAUCACUGGUGUUCGGGUUGUCAUGCCAAUGGCACUGCCCGGUAGCUAAAUGCGGAAGAGAUAAGUGCUGAAAGCAUCUAAGCACGAAACUUGCCCCGAGAUGAGUUCUCCCUGACUCCUUGAGAGUCCUGAAGGAACGUUGAAGACGACGACGUUGAUAGGCCGGGUGUGUAAGCGCAGCGAUGCGUUGAGCUAACCGGUACUAAUGAACCGUGAGG